rnacentral:sRNA from 1 species
GCUUGAGGAAUUGAGGAAUACAGUAGAA